rnacentral:rRNA from 1 species
AACGUAGGAGGCAAGCGUUAUCCGGAUUUACUGGGCGUAAAGCGCAUGCAGGUGGUUUUGUAAGUUGGAUGUGAAAGCUCCUGGCUUAACUGGGAGAGGUCGUUCAAAACUACAAGACUUGAGAUUGGUAGAGGAAAAUGGAAUUCCGGGUGUAGUGGUGAAAUGCGUAGAUAUCCGGAGGAACACCAGUGGCGAAAGCGGUUUUCUGGACCAAUUCUGACACUCAGAUGCGAAAGCUAAGGUAG